rnacentral:tRNA from 1 species
AGAAAUUUAAAAUAUUUAUUUCGACUAAAUUUUAGAUUAAAAUUAAUCAAUUUCUU